GACGAACGCUGGCGGCGUGCUUAACACAUGCAAGUCGAACGGAAAGGCCCUGCUUUUGUGGGGUGCUCGAGUGGCGAACGGGUGAGUAACACGUGAGUAACCUGCCCUUGACUUUGGGAUAACUUCAGGAAACUGGGGCUAAUACCGGAUAGGAUCUCCUGCUGCAUGGUGGGGGUUGGAAAGUUUCGGCGGUUGGGGAUUGACUCGCGGCUUAUCAGCUUGUUUGUGGGGUAGUGGCUUACCAAGGCUUUGACGGGUAGCCGGCCUGGGAGGGUGACCGGCGACAUUGGGACUGAGAUACGGCCCAGACGCCAACGGGAGGCAGGAGUGGGGAAUAUUGCACAAUGGGCGGAAGCCUGAUGCAGCAACGCCGGGUGCGGGAUGACGGGCUUCGGGUUGUAAACGGAUUUCGCAUGUGACGAAGCGUGAGUGACGGUAAUGGGUAAAGAAGCACCGGCUAACUACGUG
rnacentral:rRNA from 1 species